rnacentral:rRNA from 1 species
CCUACGGGAGGCAGCAGUGGGGAAUAUUGGACAAUGGGCGAAAGCCUGAUCCAGCCAUGCCGCGUGUGUGAAGAAGGCCUUCGGGUUGUAAAGCACUUUCAGUGGGGAAGAAAGCCUUGGGGCUAAUACCCUCGAGGAAGGACAUCACCCACAGAAGAAGCACCGGCUAACUCCGUGCCAGCAGCCGCGGUAAUACGGAGGGUGCGAGCGUUAAUCGGAAUUACUGGGCGUAAAGCGCGCGUAGGCGGUCUGAUAAGCCGGUUGUGAAAGCCCCGGGCUCAACCUGGGAACGGCAUCCGGAACUGUCAGGCUAGAAUGCAGGAGAGGAAGGUAGAAUUCCCGGUGUAGCGGUGAAAUGCGUAGAGAUCGGGAGGAAUACCAGUGGCGAAGGCAGCCUUCUGGACUGACACUGACGCUGAGGUGCGAAAGCGUGGGUAGCAAACAGGAUUAGAUACCCCUGUAGUC